GGCGCCGCGGAACCCUAACUCCUCCCCCUCCCGAGGACUCGCAGCCCCUCAUCCCCAGGCGUCUCGGAUUCGGAAGCUGCCCGAGGGGGCGAGGAGGAGGGCUCGGGCCUCCGGGCUGGUCCCAGGAUCACCAGGGAAGUGGGGGAAACUGAGGCCCACGGACGGGAAGGGCUUGCCCAGGGGCGUCGGUGUAGACCAGCACUCUUCAAACCAGGGACGCUCCCCUCGGAGGGGACGGAAGACAUCCCAAACGGGGCGCGAACGCCGGCAGCUAAGGGGUCAGGAAACUUCUGUGAAGAGCUAAGUAUUUUAGUCUUUGCCGGCCACAGGGCCUCCUGUCACCAUUAGUUAAACGCUAGAGUUGUAGCUCAAAGAGCCAAUAAAUACUUCAAAGAA